GGAUAACCUACCCCUAGGACCGGGAUAACCUUGGGAAACUGAGGACAAUACUGGAUAGGCAAUUUUUCCUGUAAUGGUUUUUUGUUUAAAUGUUUUUUCGCCUAAGGAUGGGUCUGCGGCCGAUUAGGUAGUUGGUUAGGUAAUGGCUUACCAAGCCGUUGAUCGGUACGGGUUGUGAGAGCAAGAGCCCGGAGAUGGAACCUGAGACAAGGUUCCAGGCCCUACGGGGUGCAGCAGGCGCGAAACCUCCGCAAUGUGAGAAAUCGCGACGGGGGGAUCCCAAGUGCCAUUCUUAACGGGAUGGCUUUUCAUUAGUGUAAAAAGCUUUUGGAAUAAGAGCUGGGCAAGACCGGUGCCAGCCGCCGCGGUAACACCGGCAGCUCUAGUGGUAGCAAUUUUUAUUGGGCCUAAAGCGUCCGUAGCCGGUUUAAUAAGUCUCUGGUGAAAUCCU
rnacentral:rRNA from 1 species